rnacentral:rRNA from 1 species
AUUGAACGCUGGCGGCAGGCCUAACACAUGCAAGUCGAGCGGAGCGGCGGACGGGUGUGUAAUGCCUAGGAAUCUGCCUGGUAGUGGGGGAUAACGUCCGGAACCGGUCGCUAAUCCCGCAUACUUUCAGGUUAGCCUAGGUGGGAUUAGCUUGUUGGUGGGGUAAAGGCCUACCAAGGCGACGAUCCGUAACUGGUCUGAGGGGAUGAUCCGUCACCCGGGAACGGAGACGCGGUCCAGACGCCUACGGGAGGCAGCAGUGGGGAAUAUUGGACAGUGGGCGAAAGCAUGGUCCAGCCAGGCCGCGUGUGUGAAGAAGGCCUUCGGAGUGUAAAGAACUUUAAGUUGGGAGGCGUUACCAACAGAAUAAGCACCGGCUAACUUCGUGCCAGCAGCCGCGGUAAUAC